rnacentral:rRNA from 1 species
UGCUGGACUGUAACUGACGCUGAUGCUCGAAAGUGUGGGUAUCAAACAGGAUUAGAUACCCUGGUAGUCCACACAGUAAACGAUGAAUACUCGCUGUUUGCGAUAUACAGUAAGCGGCCAAGCGAAAGCGUUAAGUAUUCCACCUGGGGAGUACGCCGGCAACGGUGAAACUCAAAGGAAUUGACGGGGGCCCGCACAAGCGGAGGAACAUGUGGUUUAAUUCGAUGAUACGCGAGGAACCUUACCCGGGCUUGAAUUGCAACUGAAUGAUGUGGAGACAUGUCAGCCGCAAGGCAGUUGUGAAGGUGCUGCAUGGUUGUCGUCAGCUCGUGCCGUGAGGUGUCGGCUUAAGUGCCAUAACGAGCGCAACCCUUAUCGAUAGUUACCAUCAGGUUAUGCUGGGGACUCUGUCGAGACUGCCGUCGUAAGAUGUGAGGAAGGUGGGGAUGACGUCAAAUCAGCACGGCCCUUACGUCCGGGGCUACACACGUGUUACAAUGGGGGGUACAGAAGGCAGCUACACGGCGACGUGAUGCUAAUCCCGAAAGCCUCUCUCAGUUCGGAUUGGAGUCUGCAACCCGACUCCAUGAAGCUGGAUUCGCUAGUAAUCGCGCAUCAGCCACGGCGCGGUGAAUACGUUCCCGGGCCUUGUACACACCGCCCGUCAAGCCAUGAAAGCCGGGGGUACCUGAAGUGCGUAACCGCGAGGAGCGCCCUAGGGUAAAACUGGUGAUUGGGGCUAAGUCGUAACAAGGUAGCCGUACCGGAAGGUGCGGCUG